CGCCUUGGUGUUGGAGCAGGAGAAGAAAGAAACAAAAAAGAAAUUGAAGGAAAAAAGAAUGGUGGAAGCCCAUAACACAAUAGGACAUGCCAAAUCCUACUAUUACAAACCUAUAAUACAAGAUGAAACUCACAUAAUAAUUACAAUUAGUGAAAUGGAAUACCAUGGGAGUCAUUUAUGUUCCUAAGGGAGAUCUGUCAUCAGGCCCAGCAAGAAUGAUAUUGCAAUCAAAGGCAAACCUCCUUGCAAGCAUAACGGCUGCAUUUCUU
rnacentral:misc_RNA from 1 species